UACGUAGGGGGCAAGCGUUGUCCGGAAUUAUUGGGCGUAAAGAGCGUGUAGGAGGUCCGGUAAGUCAGCUGUGAAAGUCAAGGGCUCAACCCUUGAAUGCCGGUUGAUACUGUCGGGCUAGAGUCCGGAAGAGGCGAGUGGAAUUCCCGGUGUAGCGGUGAAAUGCGCAGAUAUCGGGAGGAACACCAAUGGCGAAGGCAGCUCGCUGGGACGGUACUGACGCUGAGACGCGAAAGCGUGGGGAGCAAACAGG
rnacentral:rRNA from 1 species